rnacentral:rRNA from 1 species
AUACGUAGGGUGCAAGCGUUAAUCGGAAUUACUGGGCGUAAAGCGUGCGCAGGCGGUUUUGUAAGACAGAGGUGAAAUCCCCGGGCUCAACCUAGGAACUGCCUUUGUGACUGCAAGGCUAGAGUACGGCAGAGGGGGAUGGAAUUCCGCGUGUAGCAGUGAAAUGCGUAGAUAUGCGGAGGAACACCGAUGGCGAAGGCAAUCCCCUGGGCCUGUACUGACGCUCAUGCACGAAAGCGUGGGGAGCAAACAGGAUUAGAUACCCUGGUAGUCCACGCCCUAAACGAUGUCAACUGGUUGUUGGGGAUUUAUUAUCUCAGUAUCGAAGCUAACGCGUGAAGUUGACCGCCUGGGGAGUACGGCCGCAAGGUUAAAACUCAAAUGAAUUGACGGGG